AGAUUGAACGCUGGCGGCAUGCCUAACACAUGCAAGUCGAACGGGAGUAGCAAUACUCUAGUGGCGGACGGGUGAGGAAUACGUAGGAAUUUGCCCUUAAGUGGGGGAUAACCCGGGGAAACCCGGAUUAAUACCGCAUGACCUCGAAAGAGCAAAGUGGGGGAUCGCAAGACCUCACGCUUUUGGAGAAGCCUACGUCGGAUUAGCUAGUUGGUGAGGUAAUGGCUCACCAAGGCGACGAUCCGUAACUGGUCUGAGAGGAUGAUCAGUCACACCGGAACUGAGACACGGUCCGGACUCCUACGGGAGGCAGCAGUGGGGAACAUUGGACAAUGGGCGCAAGCCUGAUCCAGCAAUGCCGCGUGUGUGAAGAAGGCCUCGGUGUAAGCACUUAAGUAGGUAAGAAAACUACGAC
rnacentral:rRNA from 1 species